rnacentral:rRNA from 1 species
UACGGGGGGGGCAAGCGUUGUUCGGAAUUACUGGGCGUAAAGGGCUCGUAGGCGGCCAACUAAGUCGGAUGUGAAAUCCCCAGGCUUAACCUGGGAACUGCAUCCGAUACUGGAUGGCUUGAAUCCGGGAGAGGGAUGCGGAAUUCCAGGUGUAGCGGUGAAAUGCGUAGAUAUCGCUUGGAACGCCGACGGUGAAAACAGGUCGCUGGGAAUGUGCCGACGCUGAGACACGAAAGCCAGGGGAGCAAACGGG